rnacentral:rRNA from 1 species
GACGAACGCUGGCGGCGUGCCUAACACAUGCAAGUCGAGCGAUGAAAUCCCUUCGGGGAUGGAUUAGCGGCGGACGGGUGAGUAACACGUGGGUAACCCGCCUCAAAGUGGGGGAUAGCCUUCCGAAAGGAAGCUUAAUACCGCAUAAUAUUAGAUUUUCGCAUGAAGAGCUAAAUAAAGAAGCAAUUCGCUUUGAGAUGGACCCGCGGCGCAUUAGCUAGUUGGUGAGGUAAUGGCUCACCAAGGCGACGAUGCGUAGCCGACCUGAGAGGGUGAUCGGCCACAUUGGAACUGAGACACGGUCCAGACUCCUACGGGAGGCAGCAGUGGGGAAUAUUGCACAAUGGGGGAAACCCUGAUGCAGCAACGCCGCGUGAGUGAUGAAGGUCUUCGGAUUGUAAAGCUCUGUCUUUUGGGACGAUAAUGACGGUACCAAAGGAGGAAGCCACGGCUAACUACGUGCCAGCCGCCGCCGUAAGAC